ACACAAAAAAACAAAAAAGGAUCCAGUCAAAAUUCCAGUGACUGCUGCACACACGUUCACUGAAAAAUAGCAAAAAUGAUUGAUGCCAAAACUUGGACUGAGAGAACUGCAGAUUCAUUUGAGGAAAUCCCAAGACAUAAAGGAGGCAACAACUGCGGUAUAUAUGUGCUGAUGGAAGACAUGCCUUUCAUCAGACGAUGGUGGUGUACUCUGCUGAUGACUAACUUCGCUGUGCAAAUGCCAAGAUGCAAGUUAUCUGAAGGAGAGGAUGGAAGUGAUGAGCCUCCUUAUAAGAAACAGCACCUCCAGGAACAAUCAGAUUGCACAGGUAUACACUGAUUUUUUAUUUUUUUUUGUAUUAUUUUGAACAGUGUGAUAGAUUACAACCAAUCCAUUUUCUCAGAUAAGGUGAUGUACAAAUUUGCUUCAUACUCAUGCAGACAAUGUUUUGUUAGGUACACCUAACUAACUGAUUAACAACAGACUGCAUGGGUGUUGCUAUUGAGUAAAUGCUAAACCAGAUACCCACAGAAAAAGAUUUGAGUAUAAGGUGUUCUGCUCUAAUUAUGUUCUACGGUGUAAAGAAAUAAUUCAUAUGGAACCAAGGAAUAGGAUAAUGUGAGUAAUAUAAUGUAUUUAAUAAGUGAUUAAAUAUAUACUGUUGUGUGUACAUGUCACUGGUUAAAUAUGCGCUACACCGCGCUGAACUUAGUUCAGAAUCAGCUUCUUAUCACUGCUAACGCCGCGGCUUUCCUCUCACUCAUUCCCGCAGUGGAGUAAAAUAAUGUAUUCAAUGCUUUGAUUAGAUCAGAGCUUAUGUGGCAUAGUCAGUGCUGAUUGCUUUUUAUUUGCCUGACAGCUGCAGUCCUGACUAGAUAUCUUCAUGUUGUGAUCGAGAGGUGUUUUACUGUUCACAAAAAUGUUAUCACACAAAUGUAUAUACAGGUGGAAGAGAACCUGAGGACUCACAGGAGAAUGCAACAAUCCUGCAGGUUUCUAUUAAAUAUUUUAAAUAUUUCAUAUUUUUAGAGGAUGGACAACUUGCAGGAUAAUGGUCAUUAAUGUGUUGUUGAACAACUCAAACAGAG